rnacentral:lncRNA from 1 species
UAAAUACAAUUUUUAUUACUAUAUGUUAUAUUAUUUAUUUUUUUAUUUUUAAGGGUGGAAAACGUCAGCAUAUGACCCAAGUCAUUGUAUCCCUCCAGAAACAUACGAAGGACCAUGCCGAUCAAUAGAUUUUUCAAACAGCAAACCCACAGAUAAAGAACUGUUCGCAUGGAAAUGUGAAGUAGAGUGGCCUUGCGUUAGCUCUCCCAAAUUAAAAAUUAUGGACAAAUGCCCUUUUCGAUGGACACAUAUAGACAAAAAUUUGUGUAUAGCACCAGAGGUAUUUAAAUAAAGCUGUUAUGUAGACACGAACAUUUGUUAAUAUAUAUAUAUAUAUAUAUAUAUAUAUAUGCACAGAGAGAGAAUUAUAACAUAUACACAAUUUUAACAAUAUUUUUUAAAUUAUGUAUUUUUUUCAUAUGCAGGAUUAUUCCAAAAAAUGCCCACCAGCAUUGGACUUUUCAAAUUAUGACUACAACGGAAGAAUCAGAUUAGCCAAUGAAUGU